CAUCAGUGAUGCAAGUUGAAUUACCAUCCCGUUUAACACGGCCCAUCCUUGUCCCUAUUUACAUAUCUCACCAUGUUGGGAGGGAUGACUUAAAGGGACACUAUAGCUUACUGUAGUGGUUCUGGUGUCCAUAGCAUGGCCCUGAAGGCUUUGCCAUGUAAACACUGUCUUUUUAGAAGAAAAGUCAGUGUUUACAGCGCUGCCUAGUAACACCUCCAGG